rnacentral:rRNA from 1 species
CCCGCACAAGCGGUGGAGCAUGUGGUUUAAUUCGAUGAUACGCGAGGACCUUACUGGGCUCAAAUGUAUGUUUGACGUAUUCUGAAAGGGAUACUUCUUCGGACAAUAUACAAGGUGCUGCAUGGUUGUCGUCAGCUCGUGCCGUGAGGUGUCGGGUUAAGUCCCAUAACGAGCGCAACCCCUAUCAUUAGUUGCCAUCAGGUCAAGCUGGGGACUCUAAUGAAACUGCCUACGCAAGUAGUGAGGAAGGUGGGGAUGGCGUCAAAUCAUCAUGCCCCUUAUGAUCUGGGCUACACACGUGCUACAAUGGCCGGUACAACGGGCAGCGAAGGAGCGAUCCGGAGCGAAUCCUAAAAAGCCGGUCCCAGUUCGGAUUGCAGGCUGAAACUCGCCUACAUGAAGUUGGAGUUGCUAGUAAUCGCGAAUCAGAAUGUCGCGGUGAAUGCGUUCCCGGGCCUU